rnacentral:rRNA from 1 species
UACGUAGGGUGCAAGCGUUGUCCGGAAUUAUUGGGUGUAAAGGGCUCGUAGGCGGUCUGUCACGUCGGGAGUGAAAACUCAGGGCUUAACCCUGAGCCUGCUUCCGAUACGGGCAGACUAGAGGUAUGCAGGGGAGAACGGAAUUCCGUGGUGUAGCGGUGAAAUGCGCAGAUAUCAGGAGGAACACCGGUGGCGAAGGCGGUUCUCUGGGCAUUACCUGACGCUGAGGAGCGAAAGUGUGGGGAGCGAACAGG